CUCAAAAGAGAUAUACUUGUUUACAGUGCAAAUUAAUGGCAAUAGGGAUUUACGAUUUCAUUUGCAGGAAAAAACAUGGGCAACCUACCCAGUUGGUAAAAUUUCAGUUCAAAAACUCUUUAAAUUUUACUGUGUGGAUGGCACAGGAAGAGAAACAAAAUAAUAUUCAGUACUGCAGUCACAGGAGUACAAAAGCAUGAAGCAUCUUAUUAUGUAUGUAUGCCAUUCUCAAACAAUAAUUAUUGUACAAAACAAGAUAAAGAUAGAGACACAGCUUUAAAAUUCCAAGGAUCCUGCGAAAAGAAAAGUGAAAAUGUUGUCUCAAUUAAUGUAGUAUAGAUAGACAUUUUUCUUUAUUUUAGUAUUAAAUAAUUAUUUAGAAUAUUAAUAUGUAUUAGUUUUAAUAGUAUUAAUAUGUAUUGUAUGAAUAAUUCCCAUCAUGUAUCUGCUAGCUAAAGCAACAAAAUAAAUAAAAAUGAAAAAACA
rnacentral:lncRNA from 1 species